AUGCGUGUGGACACUGCUGAGUUCGGAUUCUCGUUCCCUUCCAUUCUAAAGAGAAAAACUGUAAAAAGGGAAGACGAACCAGUGUAGUACAAUGGAAAAGCCCCGGGGAUACUACUGAAGGGAAGGGGAAAAAACACAACGUACCCAUCAAGAGGAAGCUGCAUUUGCUUCACCAUCGAACAUGAUCACCAAAGCCAAAUACUGAACAUAAUACAGGAGGCCAUGGGAGGCAAGAGGCUGCAGAAAUAGAUAAUCUAUGUAUCAGUGGCCCUAAAAUUAAAAGAACAAUUGCUCUGUUGUGACAAGGUCAACGCAUGUGACUAGUGAAGCUUCUACUGGAACAUAAAUGGUUCAACGAACAUUUUGUAGAUCACAUAUAAAGCUACCCUGACAAGAAGAAAAGGAUACAUACUCGGUGCUUUAUUGAUGUUUCUUUUAGAAUUAGCUUUCUGUUAUUUCACCUUAGGACUUAAAACCUAAUAAAACAGAGAAACUUCAGAGAAUUUGACCUGAGAGAUAGAUAGGUUUUGUGACCUCCCCACAAAGCGUGGCUGUGAUCGUGAGAGAAACACCGCGGUGUGAGAUGAGAAAUGAACAGCAGGCUAUGGAAGGCCUGGAUUCCAGUCCCAGCUUUGCUUUUUAUGAGAUGUUUUCUAUCAGACAAGAAAUUUUACCUGCCUGCCACUCAGUUUUCUCAUUUAGAAAAUGAAGACAUUGAUGCAGAAUAUUUUAUAUAUUUGUUCGGCUUAAAACUAAGAUUAGUUUACCUUCAGAUAUGAAAAACACAUGAAAGUUGCAGAGAAGUCCGUGGCAUUCCAACUUGCCUGCUCUUGCUCAUUACUGAGGAGACUAAAAUAUAUAUAUAUGUGUUCUCACAGCCCAGCCCAGAACAAUUAAAGAGGACUCCCUGUGGGCAAGGCUCAGGCACUGGCAUAUUUUCAGAGCUUUCUAGGUGAUUCUGAUAUACAACCUGGGUAGAAUGGUCUGUCUGCAGGGCCCAUAUUUAAUUAAAGUGCCAUUCCAAGUACAGGUAUUGUGUUGUAUACAUAAGCUAAGAUCCUUCCCCCACCCCCUUCAUUUCUGGGCAUUCUUUUUCUAAUUCAUCCAUUAAAACUGAGUUAGUCCUUUGUUAGGUGCUCCGCAAUAUGGUAGUGUGAAGGAUACAACUACAGUAAAUAAAUUGCAACCCCUGCCAUCAGGAAACUGAUUUUAGGAUAUUAUUUUCACAGU